rnacentral:rRNA from 1 species
GUGAAGUCUGGCCUGCCCACUGAAGUUUUAAAGGGCCGCGGUAAUUUGACCGUGCGAAGGUAGCAUAGUCAGUAGUCUUUUAAUUGUGGACUAGAAUGAAUGGUUGGACGAGAAGUAAGCUGUCUUUGGUGUGAGUAUUGAAUUUUACUUUUAAGUGAAAAGGCUUAAAUGAUUUUAAGGGACGAUAAGACCCUAUAAAACUUAACAAGACUUUCUUGUUUCUUAAAUUAUUGUUUAAUUGGAGUUCGAGAGGUAUUUGUUUGGUUGGGGCGAAUAAGAUAAAAUAUAAAAGUAACUGUCUUAAAAUUAAAAUAAUUAUAAUUUGGGUAUUUGACCCUUUAUUAAGGAUUACAAGAGUAAGUUACUUUAGGGAUAACAGCGUAAAUUUUUUUUAGAGUUCUUAUCGACAAAAGUAGUUGCGACCUCGAUGUUGAAUUAAAAUUUAUUUUAAAUGUAGCAGUUUAAAACAGUGGGUCUGUUCGACCUU